UACGUAGGGUGCAAGCGUUAAUCGGAAUUACUGGGCGUAAAGCGUGCGCAGGCGGUGAUGUAAGACAGGUGUGAAAUCCCCGGGCUUAACCUGGGAACUGCAUUUGUGACUGCAUCGCUGGAGUGCGGCAGAGGGGGAUGGAAUUCCGCGUGUAGCAGUGAAAUGCGUAGAUAUGCGGAGGAACACCGAUGGCGAAGGCAAUCCCCUGGGCUGAGAUUGACGCUCAGGCACGAAAGCGUGGGAGCAAACAGG
rnacentral:rRNA from 1 species